rnacentral:misc_RNA from 1 species
UACCGGCAGAGUACGUUGUGUUGUCGGCCUACUGACGCCUUGUUGUUUUACCGACAUAAGCAAUUCUUUAUCUCUCGCUUCUUCGUAUAUGACACCCAAGAUCCAGGUAUACGAACGCAAGCUCCGUUGUUAAUCUCAAUAUCAACAUCCAUCAAGAAGAAGCUGCAUCUUCACGUAGACCAGCAUCUGACGUACAGCGAUGAGGAGGGUAUAAAAGGAUCUGUAUUACUAGGCCUGACUCAUUUUUUCAUUGCGAAACCUCUUGAAGAUACUAUUCAGACGACGAAGUAGAGAUAAAUAGAAAUUAUAAAUUUAGUGCUCGUAAAUUUGAGUUGCAAAGAGGACCACCUCGUAACUCUUGAAUGACAGAAGUGAGGAGAUCCGCACGCUGUGGAAACAAUUCUGUACCUUAGUUUUAGUUAUUACUAAUAGCCCAAUGUCGCAGACGCAUUACAUCGAUCGUAAGAGUCAGUUGCGGAAACCUGAACUGUGGGAGAGCCACCCAGAAUAACUGAGGACACAUAUCGUCACACCCGUCGUAG